AGAGUUUGAUCAUGGCUCAGAUUGAACGCUGGCGGCAGGCCUAACACAUGCAAGUCGAGCGGAUGAAGGGAGCUUGCUCCUGGAUUCAGCGGCGGACGGGUGAGUAACGCCUAGGAAUCUGCCUGGUAGUGGGGGAUAACGUCCGGAAACGGGCGCUAAUACCGCAUACGUCCUGAGGGAGAAAGUGGGGGAUCUUCGGACCUCACGCUAACAGAUGAGCCUAGGUCGGAUUAGCUAGUUGGUGGGGUAAAGGCCUACCAAGGCGACGAUCCGUAACUGGUCUGAGAGGAUGAUCAGUCACACUGGAACUGAGACACGGUCCAGACUCCUACGGGAGGCAGCUGUGGGGAAUAUUGGACAAUGGGCGAAAGCCUGAUCCAGCCAUGCCGCGUGUGUGAAGAAGGUCUUCGGAUUGUAAAGCACUUUAAGUUGGGAGGAAGGGCAGUAAGUUAAUACCUUGCUGUUUUGACGUUACCAACAGAAUAAGCACCGGCUAACUUCGUGCCAGCAGCCGCGGUAAUACGAAGGGUGCAAGCGUUAAUCGGAAUUACUGGGCGUAAAGCGCGCGUAGGUGGUUCAGCAAGUUGGAUGUGAAAUCCCCGGGCUCAACCUGGGAACUGCAUCCAAAACUACUGAGCUAGAGUACGGUAGAGGGUGGUGGAAUUUCCUGUGUAGCGGUGAAAUGCGUAGAUAUAGGAAGGAACACCAGUGGCGAAGGCGACCACCUGGACUGAUACUGACACUGAGGUGCGAAAGCGUGGGGAGCAAACAGGAUUAGAUACCUUGGUAGUCCACGCCGUAAACGAUGUCGACUAGCCGUUGGGAUCCUUGAGAUCUUAGUGGCGCAGCUAACGCGAUAAGUCGACCGCCUGGGGAGUACGGCCGCAAGGUUAAAACUCAAAUGAAUUGACGGGGGCCCGCACAAGCGGUGGAGCAUGUGGUUUAACUCGAAGCAACGCGAAGAACCUUACCUGGCCUUGACAUGCUGAGAACUUUCCAGAGAUGGAUUGGUGCCUUCGGGAACUCAGACACAGGUGCUGCAUGGCUGUCGUCAGCUCGUGUCGUGAGAUGUUGGGUUAAGUCCCGUAACGAGCGCAACCCUUGUCCUUAGUUACCAGCACCUCGGGUGGGCACUCUAAGGAGACUGCCGGUGACAAACCGGAGGAAGGUGGGGAUGACGUCAAGUCAUCAUGGCCCUUACGGCCAGGGCUACACACGUGCUACAAUGGUCGGUACAAAGGGUUGCCAAGCCGCGAGGUGGAGCUAAUCCCAUAAAACCGAUCGUAGUCCGGAUCGCAGUCUGCAACUCGACUGCGUGAAGUCGGAAUCGCUAGUAAUCGUGAAUCAGAAUGUCACGGUGAAUACGUUCCCGGGCCUUGUACACACCGCCCGUCACACCAU
rnacentral:rRNA from 1 species